rnacentral:rRNA from 1 species
UGGCGGACGGGUGAGUAAUGUCUGGGAAACUGCCUGAUGGAGGGGGAUAACUACUGGAAACGGUAGCUAAUACCGCAUAACGUCGCAAGACCAAAGAGGGGGACCUUAGGGCCUCUUGCCAUCGGAUGUGCCCAGAUGGGAUUAGCUAGUAGGUGGGGUAACGGCUCACCUAGGCGACGAUCCCUAGCGGGUCUGAGAGGAUGACCAGCCACACUGGAACUGAGACACGGUCCAG